rnacentral:rRNA from 7 species
CAACUUUCAACAACGGAUCUCUUGGCUCUCGCAUCGAUGAAGAACGCAGCGAAAUGCGAUAAGUAAUGUGAAUUGCAGAAUUCAGUGAAUCAUCGAAUCUUUGAACGCACCUUGCGCCCCUUGGUAUUCCGAGGGGCAUGCCUGUUUGAGUGUCAU